GACGAACGCUGGCGGCGUGCUUAACACAUGCAAGUCGAACGAAGUGGCGAACGGGUGAGUAACGCGUAAUCAACCUGCCCUUCAGAGGGGGACAACAGUUGGAAACGACUGCUAAUACCGCAUACUGAAGGAGGGGAUUGCGUCGGAUGAGCUAGUUGGAGGGGUAACGGCCCACCAAGGCGAUGAUCAGUAGCCGGUUUGAGAGGCAGAACGGCCACAAUGGGACUGGGACAAGGCCCAGACUCCUACGGGGGGCAGCAAUGGGGGAACUUCCGCAAUGGACGAAAGUCUGACGGAGCAACGCCGCGUUGGUGAUGGCGGCCUUCGGGUUGUAAAGGUCUGUUAAGCGGGACGCGGUACCGGAAUAGAAAGCCACGGCUAACUACGUGCCAGCAGCCGCGGUAAUAC
rnacentral:rRNA from 1 species